rnacentral:misc_RNA from 1 species
UCUCCGUUGGUGAACCAGCGGAGGGAUCAUUAUCGAGUUUCUGAACUCCAAACCUUUGUGAACCUUACCAUCGUUGCUUCGGCGGGAUGCCCCAGGUGCCGCCCGGCACCCGGAUCCAGGCGCCCGCCGGGGGACCCAAACUCUUGUUUUUCCAGUGGAAUCCUCUGAGUCUUGGCAUAAAUAAGCAAUCAAAACUUUCAGCAACGGAUCUCUUGGUUCUG